GAUGAAGAACGUAGCGAAAUGCGAUAAGUAAUGUGAAUUGCAGAAUUCAGUGAAUCAUCGAAUCUUUGAACGCACAUUGCGCCCGCUAGUAUUCUGGCGGGCAUGCCUGUCCGAGCGUCAUUUCAACCCUCAAGCCCCCGGGCUUGGUGUUGGGGAUCGGCGAGCCUCCGCGCCCGCCGUCCCCUAAAUCUAGUGGCGGUCUCGCUGUAGCUUCCUCUGCGUAGUAGCACACCUCGCACUGGGAAACAGCGCGGCCACGCCGUUAAACCCCCAUCUUCUGAACGUUUGACCUCGGAUCAGGUAGGAAUACCCGCUGAACUUAAGCAUAUCAAUAAGCGGAGGA
rnacentral:misc_RNA from 1 species